CUCAUCCACCUCUCGACCCACACCAAAUAGGGUUUCCGUCCGCCACCGCCGCUCGCAUCGUCGCCUUCUCCUCAGCUCUUGAGCUCCCACCCCUCUCGCUCGCCAGUCGCCUGUGCCCCGAGCCCCCACUAGCCCGACCUUGGAGGAGGCUGCGGUCGCCGGAUCCAGCCAUGGCCGUCACCAACGCCCUCCUCUCCAUCGCCGCAGGCCCAUGUUGGAUUCAGCCGGCGUGCCGGCCGAGCGCGCAACCCUAACCUCAAUUAGGAGCCCGAGGGAGGGGGAGCGGGACUGGAGCUCGAUUCAGCCGCCGUGCCUUGGAUUCAGCCACCGUGCUAUACCCGGGGGAGGGGGGAGCGGGACUGGAGCUUGAUUUGGACAGGGGGCGGUUUGUGGCUCCCGUGCGCGUUGAAGAUCCGGCGGCGGCCGCGUCCUGCAUCAACGGCGCGACGAGGAAUCAUAGGACAGAUGGGAGAGAUGAGGAGAUGGGAGGAGGAAGGAAGGAACGGGGAGGGACUCACCGACGCGGUGGCACUCGCCGGAGGCUGGCUGGCGGCAGGGUCACACGAAAACGGCGGCACGCGUGUGGCACCCUCCCCGGCGGCGCGAGCAGGAAGGAGGAGGUGCACAGGAGGCGUAGGUGCUACGGUGAGAUGGGCUUCAGAUGUGCAGCCGGCCCUAGCGCUGCAACUUCUGCAUCAGAGAAGGUACAUUGGUGAAAUGCAGCAACCAGAUAAAAGAAAUGCAUUACUCCAUCACCACACUGAUGCUCCAUCUCCCUCUGAUGGCAAGUGCGACCCUGAUGAAGCUGCUCCCCUACAUCAAGGACUACCCCAACAGUGCGGCCUUGAUGGCACAACUCCCAUACACCAAGGACUAGCCCCAUGGUGCGGCCACGACAUCACUGCUCCCCUACACCGCCGACUACAACCUGAGAUCUUAGAACAGGUUUGCAGGUUCAUUGGAACAAAUGUUCAAAAGGAAGAUGCACAGUAAGAAUUACAGUAAGAAGUUCAACUACGAGCCCAGACAUGAGGUAUUUUAACCGCCAACAGAGGGUGUGUUGCGCUAAAAAAUAGUAAUCUUCGCUCCAAAUUCUUAGGUCACUGGCCCAGGUUAGUGCCCAUUGUCAUUGUGCAUCUCUGUUAACUAUUUUAGAACUAGCACAAAUCUGAGUAGGGCUGGAACAAAAUGAACACCCAGGGUUCGAGUACCUCUACUAUGAUAUAAUUAUCUUCCAAACAGGUGUCAUUUCCUUAUCAAGAUGGUUCUCGUGAUUUAGGAAAACUAACAACACCUCAAUGGUCUUCGCACUAGAUUAGCUGUAGGAUCCAUUUUCUGGAGCAUUUUGAUUUUGGUGGACUAUUUAGAUACUUCCAUACAUACACUUUACUGAAGGUUAUUUUGACGGAACGUUAGCUUGGAAGCUUUUCCAUACUUUUUGUAACUAUCCUUCAGCAAAACUAGAUGCAGUUUGUGUUGUGAUGAAAUUAAGAUUGCUCACAAUAUUUUGCAGGAUAAAAUUAAUUACAAUGUAAGUUCUUUGGUGUGUGAUCCAUUACAAUACAGGAAGUUUGUGGUUUAUGCCAUAAAAUUUCAGUUAAUAUUUGGUACAUGAAGUGAUCUAAGUCUGCCACACUGUUUGCAUUUGUAGCUUGCUUUGUUUAAUAAAUAGAUUGAUCUUAUUUUCUAUAAACUUUUUUAUUUAACCUACUAACUUCAAAUACAUUAUAUUUGAUCCUUCAAGGGGCAAAAUAGUUCAGCUCUUUGUUUUACAAGUUUCAGGAUUGAAGGGGGAGAUGCUACAGCAGUACAACUACAAGUUCCCUUGCUUCUUUGUAAGGGAACCAAUCAACUAACUUAAUGAGAUUGAUGCACGAGAGCUUCUAGAUGUUCUUCUCGAUCUUGAAUAUUCAUUUUCUCCAACUAUGCAAGAUUUGCUUGUGUAUAAGUUUGAUAAGGCCAGGGGCAAGAACAAAGUGGUUGAUUCAUUGAAUGAAGUAUGCGUUAUGUACAGUCCUCCAGAAUUCAGAAAUUGAUCUAUAAUUCUGUGAAGAGAAGGUUUUCAAACCCAAAGGAGCAUUGGCAACCUUAGGGACUUGGGCGCCAACGUGUAGUCCCAGCAGAAGUUGCUCACCCGGAAGGUGGUCUUCUCCAAGGCCUCCCUAGCCUUUGAACAAGACCGCUCCAUCAAGGGUAAACCAUUGAGUGGCAAUGAUACAUGUGUGUCCAUACGACAUAGUGAUUAGCAGCAUGAGGUGCUGAGCACAUCGCGUGUGUGUCUGUAUGUGUGCGCUGAUAUGUGGUUCAUGAGGAACAAACUGAUUAAGCAUGCUCCAAAGCUACGAGUGACUGAACUAGGUAUCUUUUCUAUUUUCAUGGUGAAGCCUGGUUUUAACUGCUAAAGAAUAGCAGGAGAUGGAAUCAUUGAAAUAUAAUCAAUUCUUAAGUAAAUGAACUGAGACUUGAUGGUUGUGUGUUAUUGGUACAAUAUGUAUUUUGGGCCUGAAUUGUGAAGCAAAUCGAGAAUUCCUGGUUACUUAUUAUUAGUAUAGUAUACCUUUUUUGGGCCUGAAUUCUGAACCUUGCUGAUUUUUUUGGUAGUGUGUUAUCAGUGUAUAUGCAUUUUUGGCCUGAAUCCUUAACCUUAUCUAGGUAUUGAUUUUCUGCAAUCAGUGAAGCACUCAUGGUCAUGCGUAUUUGUUAGUCUACAUUACUUAUAGAUUUAGUUGUUUUGAUAUGUAUCCAUUCGUCGGUUAGUUAACUGAAAUUUGUUGGCAGUGGUUCUUUAUGUUCUUUAACUGUUAUACAGAAGCAGCGGACUGAAACAUUUAAAAACAAUCAGCUCUUUAUGAAUUAACUAAAGACUUGAUGGUUGCGUUAUUAUUAUAGUAUAUACAUUUUUGGGCUUGAAUUACAAAUCUGAUUCAAAUAUCCUUGUUUUGUGUUAUUAUGAUGGUAAUGUUAUCGAGCUUUGUUAAUGUUUUUUUCCUUUCCUUCCUGAACUUCUGAUACUCUCUGCACUGAUGAAAUGUUUUUGCACGUCAGUUAAGUACCAGGGCAACCACAGAUGAUGUUCCUUCCUUUCAUUGAGUUGCCUUACUGUUAUGUCGUCCAACUUUUUGUUAAUAUACACACUCGACAACUUACUGUUAUAACGUCCAACUUUUUGUUAAUAUACACACUUGAUUCUGGAACCCAUGAACUCUUUGUCUCUCCGAGGACAUGUUUCACAUCUACUCCUGUUUGUAAAAAAACAUUAUAGUCUAUUAUGUGUUAUAUAGUCAAAAAAUACAUAAUUGGUUCUCUUCUAUGUGCUUUCCUUAAUGAAUACACUUGGUUCACAAAAGCCUUAGCAUAAUUUGUUGAACAAGUUUUGCCUAAUUUUAUUUCUUGCAUCUCCUGUGGUAAGUUUUAUUUCUUGGUACUUGUAAAAUUGUUCAGAUUACUUAGCUUCGUUCAACUGCUGUGUUGACUAAAUCUACUGUGCCUAUAAACAUACGUGCUUGCCCGUGACCAUGUCGGCUAUGUUGUUAUUCUUUCUUGAAUUGGUAGGUUGAAACCAAGAGGGCAUUGUAAACUUUGAUGACACUUUGUGGGAAACCAAUUACUUCAUGGCCAGAGGUGAUUUUGGAAUGGAGAUUUCAGUUGAGAAGAUAUCCCUUGCACAGAAAAUGAUGAUCUACAAGUGCAACCUUGCUGGUGAGCCUGUUGUCACAGCGAUUGUAGGCAACAUCCAUUCCAAUUGUCCAUUGGUUUAACUGCAGUUUUUUAUGUACAAUUUAUAGGCCGGACUGAUUUUUUUUUACUUGCCCUGAUGAAGCUGUAGACUAUACACAUAAGUUGCUGAUUUUGCAUGCUAUACUUGUGUAAAUGUUGUUCCACCUUCCCACUUUGUAAUUUCAUGGCCAUUUCAGAUGAUCUAGACAUUUAAUGUAUGGAAUUUACAUUGGCACUAAAUAAGGAAUAUUGAAAGAUAGUAUGCCACAAUAUCUGUUAUGAGCUUUUCAGAAAGUUGUAAAGAAUAGUUCUAUUUUUUGUGGGUAGUCAAUCAAAUUAUGGUUCUUGGUUGAAGCCCUCUUGAUGACAUCAUGGAGAGAUUAAGAACAUCAGCAACAUCUUGCGGUGUUCCUCCUCAUCGUUGUUGUCACCACCGAAUAAUGACGACCAGCUCAUUAGACCGCUACUAGAGCAUUGGAGCCUUCUUGAGAAGGCAACACACCUGAGAUCCGGAGAGAGUGCGCGAGAGAGAGGGGG